rnacentral:rRNA from 1 species
UACGUAGGGGGCGAGCGUUGUCCGGAUUUACUGGGCGUAAAGCGCGUGUAGGCGGCCCAGCAAGUCUGCCGUGAAAGCUCGGGGCUCAACCCCGAGAGGUCGGUGGAAACUGCUAGGCUCGAGGACGGUAGAGGGGGGUGGAAUUGCUGGUGUAGCGGUGAAAUGCGUAGAGAUCAGCAGGAACACCCGUGGCGAAGGCGGCCCCCUGGGCCGUACCUGACGCUGAGGCGCGAAGGCUAGGGGAGCGAACGGG